rnacentral:ncRNA from 1 species
AUAAUGAGACUUCCGCCGAAGGGCGGCUCGGCGAGAACCGCGGAGGGGUAUAUGGCCCAUGG